rnacentral:lncRNA from 1 species
ACACAAUGUCAUCCGACUUCUCCUUGCCUCUCUCUUUCCCUUUCUCUCUCUAACUUCAUAAGUAGCUAGUUUGCUCUGAGCUCCACUGUUAACUUACCACACACUACUCUCUCUCUCUCUCUCUCUCUCUCUUCAACCAUGGCUGCCCUUGCUAUUGCAGCUCUGCUUCUCUUAGCCAUGGCUGGCCAGUCAAGUAAGAACACAUUUAUGUAUUUUCCAUAUUUUUCUUUUGGUGAAAUGGGUGUUUUUUUCUCUAUACCAUAUUUCCUAUAUCUAAUGAAGCCAAUAAACUAUUUUAAUUUUUUUUAAAUGCCAUUUUUCCUUACUAGUAAUGCGUUCAUUUUUCCUUGUUUGUUUCUAAUUUCUAACUUGUAUUUAUGUUAAAAGAUUUCAUAUUUCUCUUAAAGUUUGCAUUUUUGGGGUUUCAAAUAAAAAGAAAAAAAGAUCUGGUCUUUGGUCUUCCUGCCAUAUAUAAACUCACCCCUUUUAAUAUUUUGAGAGUCUGAUUUAUUUAUUUCUGGGAAUUGUAUUUGUGUAGGAGCAAACUGGUGUGUUUGCAAAGAUGGAGACCCUGCAGCCCUGCAGAAGGCAUUGGACUAUGCCUGUGGAGCCGGGGCAGAUUGCAACCCCAUAAAACCCAAUGGAGUUUGCUACAACCCCAACACUAUCAAAGCUCACUGCAGCUACGCCGUCAACAGCUACUUCCAGAAGAAGGGCCAAUCCACCGGUACUUGUGACUUUUCUGGCGCUGCAACCCCUACUACCUCCGAUCCAAGUAAGUCCCUAAAUCCUUCUCUUUUGGGUUUAAUUUUAUUGGCUUUUUGGUUGAUUUUUUUGCGUAUAAAUUAAUUAGAUUAAAGAUUAAAGGUGGUAACUUUUUUUAAUUUCAUGGUGUUUUUACAGGCUCAAAUGGUUGUACCUACCCUGCCAGUGCCAGGUAUGGUUAAUUUGCACCAAUUUUUUUUUCCUUCUGUUUUUCAAGGGUUUUAUUUUAUUUUUGUAUAUUUAUUUUUGUUAAUUAGUAUUUAGUGCUGCUUUAAUCUUUUGAAUGUCUUCAAUUUGGGAGGGGAAUUCUUUUCCCUCCUAAUCUUUUUUCCUUUCCUUUUCUUGUAUUUAAACGGUUACAGUUCAUCACGUUAACAUCUUAUAUUAAUUUUUUUUAUAAAAAUAAUAAAAUAAAAAUAUUAUGUGAGGAGGAGAGGGAAGUUGAUGGAAAUAGGAGUGAGAGAAUCGUCCUCCAUCAAUUUGAUGUCCGACACUCCACAGUCCACAGUACUUACUCUCUGGAUUUCAAAUUUUAGGGUAGGGCAGAAACACUUGAUUAUAAAACAUAAGUAGAACUGUAGCAAAAAGCACUUUUAUUAAAAGACAAAAUAUGACUUGAUGGGACAAAGAGUUACCCUACUCCUCUUAGUUAUAUGACUGUAAAAAACUUGGGUUAAUAUUUUAUUCUGCUGUCUUGUUACAUUCCAUUAACUGAAGGAGAAAAUUUUCAGUAUCGGGAACAUGAUCUCAUACACCUAGUGUCAUUUUAUAAAAAAAUUCUAAUUAUUUAUAUCAUCCAAUUUUUAAAGAAGUUUUAACGAAAAGCUCGUGAUAUAAUUUAUUUUAACGAAAAAUCAUAUUUUUACAUUAAAAAGUCAAAUAUGAUACUAUUUAUUUUAUUUUUUAUUUUAUUUUUAUUGUUAAAACUUAAAGUUUUCAGUUUUUUUUUUGUUAGUGCCGUUGCAUUGUUGGAAAGGGACCAAUAGGCAUCAUUGCCUAUGCCUUUAUCAUUGAAAAAAGGAUGCGUUUUUGAACUAAUCACUAUUUUUAUUUUAAUACAUUCAUCAUAAAAAUGAUUUCUUCACGAAUUUUUUCUUCUUCUUCACUCCGUGUCCUGAUUUUCGUUUGCUUUAUUUCAUUCAAAGGCGUAAAAUAGAUACAAGUGUGUGCAUAAGAAGAAUAAUUGAGGUGCGGAAAUCAUUUUCCUUUCAAUAUACCUUAUAAUUAUUAUCCAACACCCUCCUUUUUCAUUUUGCUUUGUUCAGUCUAAUUGAGUCUUUUUAUGGUUUGACUAGUAUUGUAAUUUGCAUUAUGAUUCAUGGCUCAUUGCCCAUAUUUUGGUAGUGGAGCUCAGUAAAUUUUUCCAAAUAAUUGGGCAUCCAAUGCUUUUUUUUACCCCACAAAGGGGAGAAAAGGUUUAAUCUUGUUGAAAAUAAAGGUAAAAGGGGUAAAAAAAGAUGUCACAGAAUUACCAUCUUGCCCAUGGCAAACAAAGACGUUACCUUUUUGGCUUCAGGCGCCGUACACUGCAUUUUUCACGUUAUGCAAUACAUUGUCUGAUCAGAGUCAAAAAUUCAAAAGUAGUGGCCACAUACAUCUGUGGUAAAAGAGCUUUUGUCCUCGUAUAUGCUUUGGGAUGCUCAUUCUUUUGGAGAUUUGAGCCUUCUUUUCUGAAGUUUUGUAUUCUCGCCGGCCGUGCCUUUUUAAUCCCCUCUCCACCAUGGUUUAAAUUUGCCUAAUAAGCUCUGGAUGCGGCGUCUCGGACUAAUAAUGCAAUGCAUUGCAAUAUCAUGUGUUUUAAUUUUUUUAGAAAAGAAAUUAGGAACAAUUGUGCAUGAGUUUUAUGAAUCUUAUCCGCAACACGUGCAUGGCCGUCUGGGACGCCAACAGAAAUAUAGUGCCGAGUGUUUUAACUUCCUCACGCGGCAUUGUAUUAUUGGUGGCAUUCUAGAUGACGCAUGUAUUAUUGUUCCUUAUUUCUCUCCUUUUGCUUUAAACUUUUUACCAGGUUUAUGAUGCUCUACAUUUGAUCCAUCUCAUUCAACUGUAAAAUAUUUCAAACAUUUUUAAUUAGUACUUUAGGUAAUUUUUUAAUUCAAAAGCUUUCCGGAAAGGCCUUUGAAUCUUUGGUGCUAAUGUACUUUAACUGCUUUUGUUUAAAAUAGUGUGCUCCCUCCUCUCAUACAUUAGUGGAUUUGGACGCAGUAUGCAGAUGGGGCCUACCAUAUUUAUAUUAGUGGUUAAUUAAUAAUUAUCCCCUCUCAAACAAUGUUUAGGAGAAAUAUUUCAAUUGGCUGGGAAGACAGUAUGAUAUAUCAAGUGUCAUAAUACAAGUGGAGGGAAAGUUAUUUUUCGUAAAUGUCCAACUACUUGUAUUGUGAUACUUGGCGUAUCGGGCCUGGCGUAUCGGGCCUGUGUUCUCGGCAUGCUGAAAAAUCUCUCCUAAACAAAGUACUUCAACGGAAUAGGAAAUCAAUAGCCUUUGAAUCCGAGGUAAGUGACUGAUCUUCAAUGGAGGAUCACAUUUUGCUGAAACGGCGUAUGUUUAUGUGAAAAUCUCAAGUGAGUCAUAGUUUUCUUCCGAACAAGGAAAAUAAGGAGUCAAUGACGUCAAAGCGACAUACUUCUAGGCGUGUCAGUCAGCAUAGUUUUGUUGAUCAGGCAUAAGUUUAAAUGAGCUUAUAUGAUUGUACAUGCCUAAAUAUGAUCUGGGAAUAUAUUAUGUUUUCUUGGGUCAUGACAGUGUAGCAUGGCAUAAAAAGUUCAUUGGCGUUCUAGGAUUCAUACAGCCAACCCCAUUUAGUGGAAUAAGGCUUUAUUGUUGUUGUUGUCUUCGUUAUUGAAUGCAACUUUGAAUAGUUAUUCAUCUCUGUGAACUAGUUUUUGAAUAAAGAUUAAAGCUUGCUUUACCAGCAUCUCUUAAGGUUGACUGCUUUUGCAAUAACAUGCUUGUUCCUUUACAUCCAAUUUCAUAUGAUGGAGAUUAUCUAUCCGGAAGAGUGCUGUGUAGGAUCUCCGAUGAGCUUUAUGCUGCACGGUCUCUGUUCAGGCACUGCAUAACCAUAUGGCAUUGUAAAUUUUCGUGUAAAAUUAUUACUUGUUUAUCUUCCAUGAGUUAUUUCGUAUUCUCUCAUUCUGUAUGCUUCACAUGAUCGUGUGCGUGCAGCUUCGAUUCUGGCAUUUCUAUUUGUUGUGUUUGGUGUGUUAAAUAUUGCUUUUCUUUGUCCUUCAGCUCCUCAGGCACAACUCCGACAACACCAUCUACUGGAACCGGCACAACCCCAAGCACCGGAACUACCCCUACCACCGGCACAACCCCUACCACUGGCACAACCUCUACCACUGGCACUACCCCUACCACCGGCACAACACCUACAGGCGCCACCCCAUACACGGCAACUCCUGGAGUACUAGGAGGCACUGGCAUGGGAAUAGGGCCAUCGGGAGCUGGCAUCAACACGGACGACAGCGGUGUGAUUAGACCUGUUGACACUACUAGCUUGUUUUCUUCUCUCCUAACCCUAUUCUUCUCAGGCUUGAUGCUUUGGUGGGACUGAAAAGGAAUUUAGUGGACGUGAGGAGGAGGUGGGGUAGGAUGUGCAAAUAUGAACAUCAUUUGGGACAUCCUUGCUAGGGUUGGAGGCAUCCAAACAUAGGCCUCACUACAGACUUUAGGACAAAACAUUCAGAAAGCUCAUGUACACGUAUGUAUACAUACAUUUAUAUAUAUAUAUAUAUAUAUAUAUAUAUAUAUAUGUGUGUGCGCGCGCAUAAUUACUUUUGUAAUGUGGUUCCACCCUGAACACGUAGAAAUGGAACUUGACUUCAACUAUAUAUGGAUGCCUUCAACCUUAAAGCUGUAUCACGUGGAUGGAAACAAAAUUCAUUUGGGCAGGGCUUCGAAUUUGGCCUUGAUUCGUGGUUGUGGGCAAUAUUUAUCGUUGGAGUGGGUCGAAUUCACUUCCUACAACUCGUCUUCCAUGAUGGUUGUGCGCUCCCGACUUGCCCGCGGCUGAGCCGCCUUACUAGGCCACACCUGUGGUGUAUUUUCGAUGUAGGCAACAGAUCUGUCUAGCGGCGGUGUUGCCCUUGCUAUGAAGACGAGCUGAUUUGUGGUUGUAUUCUUGGAUUAAAUAAUUUUAUUGUUUUGUGAUUGCUUCGACAACUUGUUGUGGCCUCGCUUGUUUGAGCGACGGCUUUGUGUGGACAUUGCGUACCAAAUUUGAUGUCAUUAUCGUCUUUGCAUUAGAUUUGAUCACUGGAGAAUAUGUACCUAAUAUGGCACCCUCUUGUAUUGUUCGGUUCUUCUCUCCUGUAUUGUUCGGUUCUUAUGAAUGAAGUCACUCUACCGUUGCCCUUCAAAACAAAAUUCAUUUAUUUUAAUUUUAUUAAGUAUACAUACGAACGUACAUUCUUAAAUUUAUAAGAUGAUGUAUCGUUAAUGGGUCAUUUGUUGAUAUUGUCGAUACUCUUGAUGAACUUGGUUGCGUAAAGAGCAGCUAACCUCCAUUAUAUUGAGGUCUCAAUCUUAGUAAGAGAGCAAUAUAAUUUUUAUCAAAUUUAAGGGCGGAGUAUUUUUGGAGCUAUAUAAUUUACAUCAAAUCCAGCAAUAAAAAAGGCAGUGGACUGCAUGUAAUUAGGCCUGGCAAUUCCUGACACGACCCGAUAACCUGACACGACACGACACGAAAUUAACAGGUGUUCGGGUCGACACGAUAACGAAACGGGUCGUUAUCGGGUAACCCGAUAAGCACCUGUUAAGAUAACGGGUUUGUUCGGGUAUACACGUGGGUAACACGAUACACGAUAAGUAGAAUAUUAAUUUAAUAAUUUAUAACCCUAAAAAAAUACUAUAAUAAUAUAUAUAUAUAUAUAUAUAUAUAUUAAUUUAACAAUUUUAUACCCCUAAAAACUAUAAUAAUUAUAUAUAUAUAUUAAAUUAACUAUAAUAAUUAUACCCAAAAUAUUAACUAUAAUAAUUAUAUAUAUAUAUAUUAAAUUUUAUACCCCUAAAAACUAUAAUAAUUAUACAUACAAAAUAAAUAGAUUUAAAUCUACUUAAUAAAUAAAUACAUAUACACCCACACACACACCAUUGAACUUCAUGGGAUACGAAUUAUACGAAAUUAAUUUCAACGAUCCAACCGUCAAACAUGUUUGUAUAUACUUCGAGAUCUCAUACGUCAAAAAUUGCAAAAAAAAACAUUCAGAGACCAAGUAACGGGACAAAACUUUUCGACGGUUAUAAACGAAAAAUCACGAUUUAACGGUCAUUUUAACUCCGAUUUUGAUGAUUUUUUACAACCACACUCCUUGACCCUAUAUGAAUACAAUGAUUGAAUUCGAUCUUCAAUUUAAAAUAUUUACACUAGUGGAUCUUAUGUUAUACUUAAUAAAAGUAUGAAUAAACUUUUAAGUAUUAGUGAAUCUAUUGUUUUGAUGGGAUACUCAUUCUACAAAACUAGUUUCAAUGAUCCAACCGUCAAACAUGUUUGUAUAUACUUCGAGAUCGCAUACGCCAAAAAUUGCAAAAAAAAACAUUUAGAGAUCAAGUAACGGGACAAAACUUUUCGACGGUUAUAAACGAAAAAUCACGAUUUAACGGUCAUUUUAACUCCGAUUUUGAUGAUUUUUUACAACCACACUCCUUGACCCUAUAUGAAUACAAUGAUUGAAUUCGAUCUUCAAUUUAAAAUAUUUACACUAGUGGAUCUUAUGUUAUACUUAAUAAAAGUAUGAAUAAACUCUUAAGUAUUAGUGAAUCUAUUGUUUUGAUGGGAUACUCAUUCUACAAAACUAGUUUCAAUGAUCCAACCGUCAAACAUGUUUGUAUAUACUUCGAGAUCGCAUACGCCAAAAAUUGCAAAAAAAAACAUUUAGAGAUCAAGUAACGGGACAAAACUUUUCGACGGUUAUAAACGAAAAAUCACGAUUUAACGGUUAUUUUAACUCCGAUUUUGAUGAUUUUUGACAACUACACUCCUUGACCCUAUAUGAAUACAAGUAAUGAAUUCGAUCUUCAAUUUAAAAUAUUUACACUAGUGGAUACCACAAAAUCUUAUGUUAUGCUUAAUAAAAGUAUGAAUAAACUAUUAAGUAUUAGAGAAUCUAUUGUUUUGAUGGGAUACUCAUUCUACGAAACUAGUUUCAAAGAUCCAACCGUCAAACAUGUUUGUAUAUACUUCGAGAUCGCAUACGUCAAAAAUUACAAAAAACAAACAUUCAGAGAUCAAUUAACGGGACAAAACAUUUUGACGGUUAUAAAAAGAAAAAUCAUGAUUUAACGGUCAUUUUAACUCUGAUUUUGAUGAUUUUUUGUAGCUAAACUCCUUGACCUUAUAUGAAUACAAUGAUUUAAUUCGAUCUUCAAUUUAAAAUAUUUACACUAGUGGAUACCACAAAAUCUUAUGUUAUACUUAAUAAAAGUAUGAAAUAAACUAUUAAGUAUUAGUGAAUCUAUUGUUUUGAUGGGAUACUCAUUCUACGAAACUAGUUUCAAAGAUCCAACCGUCAAACAUGUUUGUGUAUACUUCGAGAUCGCAUACGUCAAAAAUUACAAAAAACAAACAUUCAGAGAUCAAUUAACGGGACAAAACUUUUCGACGGUUAUAAAAAGAAAAAUCACGAUUUAACGGUCAUUUUAACUCUAAUUUUGAUGAUUUUUUGCAGCUACACUCCUUGACCUUAUAUGAAUACAAUGAUUGAAUUGGAUCUUCAAUUUAAAAUAUUUACACUAGUGGAUACCACAAAAUCUUAUAUUAUACUUAAUAAAAGUAUGAAUAAACUAUUAAGUAUUAGUGAAUCUAUUGUUUUGAUGGGAUACUCAUUCUACGAAACUAGUUUCAAAGAUCCAACCGUCAAACAUGUUUGUAUAUACUUCGAGAUCGCAUACGUCAAAAAUUACAAAAAACAAACAUUCAGAGAGCAAGUAACGGGACAAAAGUUUUCGACGGUUAUAAACGAAAAAUCAUGAUUUAACGGUCAUUUUAACUCCGAUUUUGAUGAUUUUUUACAACUACACUCCUUGACCCUAUAUGAAUACAAUGAUUUAAUUCGAUCUUCAAUUUAAAAUAUUUACACUAGUGGAUACCACAAAAUCUUAUGUUAUACUUAAUAAAAGUAUGAAUAAACUCUUAAAUAUUAGUGAAUCUAUUGUUUUGAUGGGAUACUCAUUCUACGAAACUAGUUUCAAUGAUCCAACCGUCAAACAUGUUUGUAUAUGUUUCGAGAUCGCAUACGCCAAAAAUUGCAAAAAACAAACAUUCAGAGAGCAAGUAACGGGACAAAACUUUUCGACGGUUAUAAACGAAAAAUCACGAUUUAACGGUUAAUUUAACUCCGAUUUUGAUGAUUGUUUACAACUACACUCAUUGACCUUAUAUGAAUACAAUGAUUGAAUUCGAUCUUCAAUUUAAAAUAUUUACACUAGUGGAUACCACAAAAUCUUAUGUUUAUACUUAAUAAAAGUAUGGUAUAGUACUAUUGUUUUAUUUUUUUUUCAUAAUUAUUUUGGUAAACUUCUCAUAAUUUGAAUGAUUUUUAAUGUUUGGUUUUUCUAUGCUUAGUUUAUGCAGAAGAGAGUUAUGACGUGGAAAACCUUACUGAAAACAUCAUCAACAUAACUCUUGAAGGCAAUAGAUCAAGCCAAAGUUCCAAUGCAAUUUCAUGAUGAUCAAUGUAAAUCGAGGAUUUUGUAAAUUGAGGUUUAAACUUUUGAGAAAGAUUUCACAACCUUGAAAACAAAAACUGUUUCAUUUUGCAUAUCCUUGCACAUUUAAAAUUUGUAAUAGAUUAGUAGUGUAUGUAUUAUUUUUUUAUUAGGCUCUUAUUUUCGAGUGUAGAUGUAGUACUUAAACAACAAAUGUAUUUUAAUGUUUUGAAGUAAUAUUUAUGUGGCAAUGUGUGGUAUGUGCAAAUUUAAGAAAAAAAAUAUAUUUUUCUUAACGGGUCAUAACGGGUGUGACACGACACGACCCGUUAAGAUAACAGGUGUUACACGAAAACGACACGAACACGACUGACACGACCCGUUUGCCAGGCCUACAUGUAAUGUAACACUAUGUUUGGAUGAAGAAAUUUAAGAUUACUAAGAAAUUUUAAAAUGACAGAAAUUGAAAUGACGAGAUUUUAUUUUCUAGAAUUUGUGAAUUUUCUUGUUUGAUUAAUCUAAAAACAUAAAGGGAGUUGAAUACGAAAUUUGUUAUUUUUAAGCUCUCAACCAUAGAAAUUGGGAAAUGACACCUAUUUACAUGAAAUUUAAACUUGGAAAUUAGAGGUCCCAAAUUCCAAGUUCUUUUCCACACGGAAAUUCUAAAUUUCUAUAUUUAUGAAUCCAAACAGAGAAAUUGGUGUAUGUCAAUUUAUAAAUUCUGACUUUUAUCUAAAUUUCAAGUUUAUUUUCCUCAUCCAAACAUAGUGUAACAGAAAAUUUAGCAUGUUCCGAUAAAUCACGCACACAAAUUUUAGCCGUUAAAACUGAACUUUUAGCAGUUAUAAGCGAGAUUUUAACCGUUAGAUCUUUAAUCAGGAUAAACAAUAAGAUACACCGAAGCAUAUUACAAAGGACUUUUAAUUAUACAAAGCAACCCGGUACAAGAGAAAUAAGACUCAAAAAACACAGUUUAAACAGUUUGAACAUCAUUACAGACGCUGCAGAAAACACAACAGUUUCCUUACAAGUUCACAACCUAUUUUACUCAUCCAUUUCCUCAAUCUUCAUCUUCUUCACAGCCUGAUCGGCAUCGCAUCCGACUUCUGCCCCAUCGCCGCAUCCACAAGCCCUCCGUUCUUCUCAACCCUGUACACAAGCCCGCUUCCGCUUGGCGCUGCAUCUAUGAACACGGUCGAGUUUUCAUCUAUUUCUUCUCGCACAAGCAUCCGCGACAACUCCUUCACCACCUUCUUCUCCAGCCAUCUCCUAAUAGGUCUGGCACCGUAAACCUGAAAACGAAAAAAGAGUACUUGUUUAGUGUUUCAUAUCACACAGGAGAAUGCAGAGAAAAUAUUUUUGGAUUCGUAAAACCGAUACUCACGGGAUCAUAACUCUCGCCCAGAAUGUAAUCCAACGCUGCAUCGGUGACUGCCAUAGCAAUGCCCUUCUCGGCCAGUCGGGCUGCAACAUCUUUCAUUUGCAAUCUGGCAACCUUCCUCAGUUGAUCGCGAGAGAGAGGGUCAAAUACAACAAUCUCAUCGAGAUGGUUCAGCAGCUCAGGGCUAAAGUGCCUUCUCACCUAUUCAAGAACCAAACUAGUUAAGUAUUGAAAGAACGAAGCGAUACGCAAUCAUAAUUCAAAUUUGGGGUAACCAAAGAUGAUACCUCUUUCAUAACUUCAUCGUGAGCAACCUGCAUCGAGCACUUGCCCAUCGAACCGGAGAGGAGAUGUUCUGCUCCCAAGUUUGAAGUCAUGACAAUCACCGUGUUUCUGAAAUCAACUGUACGGCCUUGUCCAUCGGUUAGUCUUCCAUCAUCCAAGACUUGCAGGAGUGUGUUGAAAGCAGCGGUGUGAGCCUUCUCCACUUCAUCAAACAAUACAACACUGUAAGGCCUCCGCCUCACGGCCUCCGUGAGUUGCCCGCCUUCAUUGCGACCAAUAUACCUGUAAAAUAUGAAUGAGUCAGAAUUCAUAAUGCAGCAGCGGAGCUCACAAACAUGCUUGAGCGAAGAAAACUAUGAAUGCAAUUACCCAGGGGGAGUGUCAAUUAAGCGCGAGACAGAAUGUUGUUCCAUAUACUCGGACAUGUCAAUUCUGACAAUCAGAUUCUCGUCAUCAAAAAGUUGUUCAGCAAGCGCCUUCGCAAGCUCGGUUUUACCGACACCAGUUGGGCCCAAGAAGAGGAAUGAACCAGUAGGUUGUUGUGGCCUUCCUAGCCCCGCUCUUGACAUUAAAACCGCCUCGGCGACAGCAUCAACUGCCUGGUCUUGCCCCACUACUCUCUUAUGCAACCUUUCCGCAAGUCCAAUUAACCUUUCCUUGUCAUUCUGGCCAAGCCGUGUGACAGGUAUGCCGGUCCAACGGCUAACCACCUCUGCAAUUUGUUCUGGUCCAACCGUCUCUGUCAAAAUCAAGUUUUCGGCAGUACUACCUUCAAGCUUUGCAAUGGUGGUUUCCACUUCCUGAAUAGGGCCACAACUCAAGUCAGCAGCCCUAGCCAAAUCAUAUCUUCUUUCGGCCUCUGCUAAAGCUACCAAGAGCUCUUCACGCUUCUGCUUAAGCUUUCGAAGCUCGUCCACCCUUUCCUUCUCCUUUCGAUACUUCAUCACCAGUGGCUGAAGCUUGUCUCUCAGUUCAUCAAGCUCUUUUCGCACCUGAGAACAAAAUGGCAGGAACAACGAACACUCUCUAAGAACAAAGAAAGACUUCAUCAGACAAAUACUUUCUAAUAACUUAUGGAUCAAGUAAUCACCUCGACAAGACGAGCUUUGCUAGCUUUGUCCUUUUCUUUCUCAAGUGCAUGAAGCUCAACUUCCAGCUGCAUCCUCUUCCUUUCGAGGUUAUCGAUUUCUUCAGGUUGGCUGUCAAGUUGGACUCUCACAUUCGCACAAGCUUCGUCAACUAGAUCAAUCGCCUUGUCAGGGAGAUGUCGCCCUACAAAACAAAAGCAAAGAGGAAAACUUCAAUACCAAGUAAUUUUUUACAGAACGUUGAUUUCAAAAUUGAAAGCUUACAAAUCCCUAAACAUAGAAAAUAGACCACAAUUGUUAGCUAUUUCUAAUGUAGAGUAAAUUGUAGCAAUGAUCUCUCAACUAAAAAUUCAUUACCAUUGGUUCCUCAACUUAUCAAAAUGUGUAGCUAUAGUCAUUUUUAUCAAUUUCGUCAAAAUUUUGUCAAAAUAAGUUACGUUGGAAUAACCAUUUAUAUAAUUAGGGUCCCUCAACUCAUCAAAGUGUAAUUAUGGUCAUUUUCGUCAACUACAUCAAAAAUUUUGUCAAAAUGAGUUACGUUGGAAUGACCAUUGCUACAAUUAGGUUAGAGUUAAGAGGUCAUUUCUUCAGUUGAAUUAAAGUUGAGGGACCAAUGGUAAUGAAUUUUUAGUUGAGGGAGCAUAGCUACACAUUUUGAUGAGUUGAGGAACCAAUGGUAAUUGAUUUUUAGUUGAGGGACCAUUGCUUCAAUUCAAUUAAAAUUAAGGGAUCAUAGCUACAAUUUACUCUCUAAUUUAUACCUGUGAUGUAUCGACUCGAAAGCUGUGCAGCAACAACAAGAGUUCUGUCCAGAAUCCGAACACAGUGGUGAUCCUCAUACCUCUCUUUCAAACCUCGAAGGAUGCUAAUUGUAUCCGGAACACUAGGCUCCGCCACAUAAACCUGCUGGAACCUUCUCUCAAAUGCAGCAUCUUUGUCUACAUAUUUUCUGUACUCCUCAAGAGUUGUUGCGCCAAUGUACCGAAGUUGCCCCCGUGCGAGCGUUGGCUUGAACAGGUUGCCUGCAUCCAUGGAUCCUUCCGUCCUUCCGGCGCCAAGAACAAGGUGAAUUUCAUCAAUAAACAGAAUCACCUUCCCCUCAGCCUCUUCCACUUCCUUCACAACCGCCUUUAACCGCUCCUCAAACUUCCCUCGAUACUUGGCCCCCAUAUCCAAUGCAAUGAGCCUUACAUCAGCCAAAUUACUUGGGACAUCCCCGCCAACUAUCCUCUGAGCCAGCCCUUCAACCACAGCAGUCUUCCCAACUCCCGGCUCUCCAAUUAGAACAGGGUUGUUCUUAGUCCUCCUCGAAAGAAUCCUCACCACUCUCCUUAUCUCCUCGUCACGGCCAAUAACCGGGUCAAGUUUCCCGGCCUGCUCAACAAGGUCCCGUCCAUAAGUCUUCAAUGCCUGAAAUGUAGUAUCCCCAGAAGCACUCUCCACCUUCUUCCCUUCCUUCCCACGAAGCUUUUCGACUUCAGAUUUCAUUCUGGCCGUGGCAAUGCCGGCUUCCUUCAACAAGUCACCAAUCUGGGAAUCCUCAAGAAGACUAAAGAUCAACUGAUCAACGGCCAAGUGUGUGUCCCCUCUUGUCUUCUGCGCUGACUGAGCUCUCCUAAUCACUUUGAUGAGAGAUGAACUGGCUAGGAUUUCAUACGGCGGAGGUGACUGAGAUGGGAGCUUCUUCAGGGCCUGGUUGAACACCCUCUCCACAGACUUCGGAGUGUCAACACUGCCACCGGCAUUGGCAAUGGCUUGGUUGAAAAUGCCACUGGGAUCAGAUACCAAUGCUGUUGCAAGAUGGAGUGGCGUGAACUGCGCGUGGCCAGCAUCCAUGGCCAGGACAUGAGCUCCGGCAAUAGUCUCAUUGGUCUUGUGGGUAAACUUAUCAGGGUUCAUUUUCCUUCACCAAUUUAUGAUACCUAACAUGCACUGCAAACAACAUGGGUGAGAUAAUAAAAAAAAUGGAACUUUAACGAAAAGCACUGGUACUGUUUACUUUAACGAAAAAUCAUAAUUUUACACUAAAAAGUCAAUCUUAGUACUAUUCACUUUACCCUUUAUUUUGUCAUUAUCAUUAAAACUCAAAGUUUUCAAGCCCUUUUCAUUAGUUUUCCUUAAAAAAAAUGGUUCUUUAGAUUUAAACCCUUGCAAUUUUUAAACUCUAGAUAAAAAUCCAUAUAUAUUAUAACUUCUAAAUAAAACGCACAUUUUCAAUAUUAUGUCAUGUUGGAUAAAAGAUGUCCAUGAAUUUGUGUUUAUUUUCAAAAUCAUGUCACCAAAUCUCUUAUACGUUUCUUUUGGACAUUUAAUUUGUUUAACAUAUUUUAAAUUUUGUGUGAACUACUCCAAUCCAAAACCUAAGUAGAUCAAAUAUAUACGGACAUAUAUUCUACAUUUAUGUAUACUAAUACCAUAAAAAUAAGUAGGUAAAUUAAUUUUGUUACAAAUUUAAAAAGUAGGCACAUCAAUUUUCAUGUAAUUAUACAGUAGGUAAAUUAUUUUCAUCAAAUUAAACAUAUUGUUUUCAAAAAAUUAAUUUUCAUAGUAGGUAAAUUUUUUCAUGUAAUUAUAUAGUUGGUAAAUUAUUUUCAUCAAAUUAAACAGUAGAUAUUGUUUAAAAAAAUUAUUUUUCAUAGUUGGUAAACUAUUUUCAUGUAAUUAUAUUGUAGGUAUAAAAUUAAACAAUAGAUAUUGUUUUCAUAAAAUUAAUUUUCCUAGUAGAUAAAUUAUUUUCAUAAAAUUAAACAAUAGAUAUUGUUGAAAAUAAACACUAAAUUAGGUACAUUCAAAUUGAAAUUUACUGUCGAAAUUAAAAAAAAUUCCAAAUUAAUUCAUCCAUCUAGAACGAUAUUUCAUGGCUACAAGACCUUGCCAAAUUCAAUGCACGUGAUCAAUUAAAACAAAAUUACAAGAACUUUUCAUACUGGCUUAGAUGGGGUAUAUUAGGGAUCUAAAAAAUAUAGAAACGGACACACAAAUUUAAUUUGGUAAGUUGCUUAGUUGGAUCCUAAUCAUUAGGUUUUAUUCGGAUAAAUAUUAUAUGAUGGGCUUGAGGCUAGAAAAAAUGAGUUUGGAGGGGGAAAGUUAAAUUUCUCAGCUAAAAAAAUAAAAGAUGCAAUCAUUGAUCAUGUCUUCCCAAUUUACGAAAUUCUUGAACUUCUUCAAUUCUUUUUCCGAGAUUGAAAACUGACAGAGACUUUACUACUUCAAUUAAUUCGUUCAAAACCCAAAACCCAUAUGGAAAUCAACUCUAAAAACUCAAAUAUUCAUAGAGAGGGAAGCAAGAGAAAUCUUGGACGUACCUUUUGAGGAGGAAGCUGAAGCUUUUCUGCAACAAUGGCGGGUAAGUACACAAUUGCGUUUCAAUAAUUUGAUAUGGUAUUUCUUUCGGUUGAUCGAAUCGUUGAUUCGUAGUGAGUUUUUUCUGAUGGGUGCUUUGGGAGAGUGAGUGAGACUUUAAGGAGGAGAAACUCCAAUGUACGGGUACCUUAAAAAAUUUAUUGUGACACAUGAAUGCGAUGGUUCACACACCACAUUACUACUUUACAAAAAGAUGAUGUAUAAAUUGAUGACCAAGAAAUGAAUGCUGUUUGUAUUUUGACAAGAGGUAAAAUAGUUAAGGACUUCGUUACAAGUACAUAUAGUUUUGUAUCCAUAAUAUUAUUAGCAUAAAACGACACAGUGACAUAAAGAUAAGUUGCUUUCGGUAAAAAAAAAAAGUUUAGUUUUAGCUACGUAUUUUAGAACUCCAUUGUAUUGACUUUAUGCCUGUAACUAAAAAAAUGACUAAUUUACUUCUUAAAACUCAAAAUUUGCUCUACUUAGCUUGUGGACUUUCUAUUCUCCCUAAAACUUAUAGAUUGCUUUCUAAAACAUAUAUAUGAGCCAACAUUCAAUAAGAAUAUGCCAUAUGUGCAAUAAAUUUGAUUAUGAGUAAACAUUCAAUAAUCAGAUAAUAUUAAGUUUAAAAGAAAUUGAAGGGAUGAAAAAAAUUAGAAAGGAAAUUGAUUCGCCUGGCUCACUCAAAUCAAACCCACACAUAAGAAACUAUUGUAAGAUCCCAUAUCGCUCAAGGGAGUGAUCCUUAUAUGUAUAUCACAUCCCUACCUAGCACGAGGCCUUUUGGGAGCUCACUGACUUCGGAGUUCAUAGGAACUCGGAAGUUAAACGAGUAGCGCACGAGAGCACUCCUAUGAUGGGUGACCCAUUGGGAAGUUCUUGUGUGAGUUCCCAGAAACAAAACCGUGAGGGCAUAGUCGGGGCCCAAAGCGGACAACAUCGUACUACGGUGGUGGAGCGGGUCCGGGAUGUGACAACUAACAUAUCUAAGGUAAUAUGUCACGAAUCAAAUCGUGUCUAAUGGGGCAAAAUGCAAUGGAUUUUGAAUUCUAGAGAAUAAACUAACCACUUUUGAGUUACAAUGAAAAUAAAAUAAUUAAAUUAGAGUUCAGAAAAGCAUAACUAAAAUUAAGAAAUUACAAGCUUAUACCCGCCACACUCGAUAGCUGCUGGGUUAGGUCUUAGCAUGAGACACAUGGAAUCCUAUGUGAAUCAGCGAGGACCACCUUGCAAGGCUAAAUACUCAUGGGUGAUUGAUAUUGAAGUAGUACCGUGAGGGAAGGGUGAAAAGAAUCUCUAUUGGGGAGUGAAAUAGAACAUGAAACCGUAAUCGGCCACAUUAAAAUUACCUUAUGGGGAGGUCCGUUUGAUAUCCAAAAACUGCUUAGCAACAGUUGGGAUUUUUUACCUAAUUUAAAAUUUGAUAAUCAAGGAAUUUAUCUACUCCAUCUGACUAGUUCUGGGUUCGAGUCCUGGGCAACCCAUUAAAAUUAGCAUAUCAAAAUCAUGUGUAUAUAAAUCCUUUAAAUUCAUUUCAUUAAAAACUUGUUAAAAACUAUACACAUCGCGAGACGGAGAAAAAAGAAAAGGAAAACUAAUGAAAAGUGUCACAUCCCAAAUCGGCUCUGCCGUAGCACAAUAUUGUCCUUUUUGGGCCCCGGCCACACCCUCAUGGUUUUGUUUCUGGGAACUCAUACGAGAACGUCCAAGUGGGUCACCUAUCAUUGGAAUGCUCUCACUCAAACUUGGUUAACUUCGGAGUUCCAAUGGAAUCCGAAACCAAUGAGUUCCUAAAAAGCCUCGUGCUAUAUGGAGAUGGUCAUGUAUAUAUAAGGCACAUAACCCUCUCUCUGUUGGUCAAUGUGGAAUGUUACAAUCCACCCCCUUAGGAGGACGUUGACACACUUGCACCACACGACAGAGUGACUUUGAUACCAUUCUAUCACAUCCCAAACAGGCUCCGCUGUAACACAAUAUUGUCCUUUUUGGGCCUCUGCCACGACCUUACAGCUUUGUUUCUUGGAACUCAGACGAGAACUUCUCAGUGGGUCACCUAUCCUGGGAACGCUCUUACCCGAACUUGCUUAACUUCAGAGUUCCGAUGGAAUACGAAGCCAGUGGGUUUCAAAAAUGUCUCAUGCUAUAUAGAGGUGGUCAUGUACAUAUAAGGCACAUUAUCCCCUCUCCGUUGGUCGAUGUGGGAUGUUACAAAAAAAAGCUUAAAAACUUUGAGUUUUAAUAAAAAAGAUAAAAAUGUGUUGUAAAUAAAUAGUAUUAAGAAUGACUUUUUAAAGUAAAAAUAUCAUAAUCGUUAAAAAUGAUCAGUAUAAGAAUUGUUUUGUUAAAACUCUCAAAAAAGAAAGGUACCCCCAAGCUGACAACAUACUGAGCCACUAUCACCGCACCGUCAACAUCACCAAGUUUUUUACUUUUUUAUUUUUUGGUUUUUGAGUUUCUAGAGAUAUACCCAUGUUUCCUUUCUCUCACACACCCUCAUCCAACUUCUCCUUGUCUCUCUCUCUCUCUACCUAACUUCAGCAGUAGCUAGAUUGCUUUGAGCUCCACUGUUACCUUACCACACACUACUCUCGCUCUCUCUUUCCCUUCAACCAUGGCUGCCCUUGCUUUUGCAGCUCUGCUUCUCUUAGCCAUGGCUGGCCAGUUAAGUAAGAACACAUUUAUGUAUUUUCCAUAUAUAUUUUUUUUGGUGAAAUGGGUAUUUUUCUCUACCAUAUUUCCUAUAUUUUACUUAUCUAAUGAAGCCAAUAAACCAUUUUAGUUUUUUUUUUUUAAAUGCCAAUUUCCCUUACUAGUAAUGUGUUCAUUUUUCCUUCUAACUUGUAUUUAUGUUAAAGAUUUCAUAUUUCUCUUAAAGUUUGCAUUUUUGGGGUUUCAAUUAAAAAGAAAAAAAGAUCUGAUCUUUGGUCUUCCUACCAUAUAUAAAUUCACCCCUUUUAAUAUUUUGAGAGUCUGAUUUAUUUAUUUAUUUGUGGGAAAUAUGUUUAUGUAGGA